AACGCAAGUGGCGCUCUGCGACGAGCGGAGCAUGCUUGGCUGAGGGUUGUUUCAUUUAGUGGCGGUAUUCGGGUGGAUUCCGCCGAAGGUGGCGUGGGGACGGAGCAGAACAGGGUAAAUUCGUUUGCCCUUGUUUGUACGAUGCUCUCUCAGUGCAACCUCAGAUCAAGCAGGAGUACCCGCCGAACUUAA
rnacentral:misc_RNA from 1 species